rnacentral:rRNA from 1 species
GGACAAUCUACCCUGCGGAGGGGGAUAACCCCGGGAAACUGGGGAUAAUACCCCAUAGACUAUGGAAGCUGGAAUGCUCUGUAGCCGAAAGGUCCGCCGCCGCAGGAUGAGUCUGCGGCCGGUUAGGUUGUUGUUGGGGUAACGGCCCAACAAGCCUGUAAUCGGUACGGGUUGUGGGAGCAAGAGCCCGGAGAUGGAUUCUGAGACACGAAUCCAGGCCCUACGGGGCGCAGCAGGCGCGAAAACUUUGCAAUGCGGGAAACCGUGACAAGGGAACUCCGAGUGCCCGUAAAUUCGGGCUGUCCGCCAGUCCAAAAAACUGGUGAAGAAAGGGCCGGGCAAGACCGGUGCCAGCCGCCGCGGUAAUACCGGCGGCUCGAGUGGUGGCCACUAUUACUGGGCUUAAAGCGUUCGUAGCUGGCCUGUUAAGUCUCUGGGGAAAUCUUCCGGCUUAACCGGAAGGCGUCUCAGGGAAACUGGCAGGCUAGGGACCGGAAGAGGUGAGGGGUACUCCAGGGGUAGGAGUGAAAUCCUGUAAUCCUUGGGGGACCACCUGUGGCGAAGGCGCCUCACCAGAACGGCUCCGACAGUGAGGAACGAAAGCUGGGGGAGCAAACCGGAUUAGAUACCCGGGUAGUCCCAGCUGUAAACGAUGCGCGUUAGGUGUAUCGGUGACCACGAGUCACCGAGGUGCCGAAGGGAAACCGUGAAACGUGCCGCCUGGGAAGUACGGUCGCAAGGCUGAAACUUAA